AUUCUGGGUGCAUUUAUGACGAGUUGGUCAUAUCAGAUGGAUCAACUUCUAAUUCUACGUGUGGAAAGUCAAUUGUGAAUAGCCCUCCAAUUUUCUUUACUAAAGAAAAUAUUAAUGUCAGUUUUCGUUCCGCUCCCUGGAGUAAUAGUUUAUCCGGUUUUCUACUGACAUACAAAAUUAUUGAUGGAGUGGAUAUUCAUUGUACAUUUGAAAACAACUGGUGCAAUUUUACAAAGAUUGGGGAUUGGAAGCGAGUCAUGGGAUCAAACUUGGGCAACUGGUCGAUAGAGGAUCAUACAAUUGGCAACAGUUAUGGUCAUUUUGUGAUCUUGGAAACAUCUAUCUUUG